CCUACGGGUGGCAGCAGUGAGGAAUAUUGGUCAAUGGCCGGAAGGCUGAACCAGCCAUGCCGCGUGAAGGUCAGUGCCCUUUGGGCGUUAAACUUCUUUUGUGCGGGAGCAAUAUUGGUCACGUGUGGCCAGACGAGAGUACCGUACGCAUACGCAUCGGCUAAAUCCGUGCCAGCAGCCGCGGUAAUACGGGGGGUGCAAGCGUUAUCCGGAUUUAUUGGGUUUAAAGGGUGCGUAGGCGGGGAGGUAAGUCAGCGGUGAAAUGCCCCCGCUCAACGGGGUGAAGUGCCAUUGAUACUGCCUAGCUGGAAGGCGGAUGCCGUGGGAGGAAUGUGUAGUGUAGCGGUGAAAUGCAUAGAUAUCA
rnacentral:rRNA from 1 species